CCUAGCUCCUCCUUUCAUUAAAUUGGUGUACAGUCAGAUUGAUGCAACAACACCACAAUUGAAGAUGGCGAAAAGGAACUCCCUUAUCCGCUGCAAACAGGCCCUAAAUGGCUGUACUCGGCUUCUGCUCUCCGAUAAUCCUGGACUUGAUGCCCUUCAGUCCACGAAAUACUAUUAUUACUUAAUCAUAAAGUUGAUCUGCUAGCUAACACAGAGGACGGGUCUGUGUAUGGCUAUGCAGCUAUGUUGGAGGCUCAGACACUGAGAGCAGUGCAAGUAACUUAGGCCUAUGUGUUGCUAAUAUUGUAAGUCUGAUUAGGCCAAGGGUGUAUUUUAUAUUUAGCUAGUAUAUGUAGAAUAUAUAUAUUUUGUUGUAAUGAAUGCUGGUAUUUAAAUGGCUGGAUUGCUAAAUUAGUUAGUAGUUCGCUUGAUAACGUUCCUUAGCCGCACACCCCGGCCAUAGCCGCAGUGAACGGCGCCGUCUUGUUAUAUUUUUACAGCCCUGCUAGUUACAUAAAGGUGAUUUAUUAUCGACGAGUACUGACGUCAAACAUGUUUUUGUAUUUAUUGGCAAAACAACAACUGAAGGUUUAAAACUUCAGGCAGGCUGGCUGGCUAGCUAGCUAUAAUUUCAAUGCUACCUAGCCUUAGCCGCACUACCUCGCGAUUAGCUUAAAAACAUUUACAAAGCUCACAAAGCUUCUUUGACCUAGGACAAUCCUGUAAAAACUUUUGCUAAUAUCUACAACAUAUCAGCUUUCCAACAGAUACUACUUUUGAAACCCUUUGGAAAAAUGAAUAUUUCAUCUAAACCUAGAAAUUAACAACUUCAGACCUAAACCAGGAACGUUAACGUUAAGUACUAUGGCACUGUUGGUACAGGAAUCUCAGUCCCAUCCAUGGUCUCUAUUUUUACCAAACUGUCGUCUUGCAGAAUGGAAACCAUACAGAGGAGCCUUGACUGGGCUAGGGGGAGGCUGAUAAAUGUUGCUUCAGCAGACGAUCUAAUUGAUCAAGUAUCUCAGUUCAUUCAGGAGAUGCGUACCUCUGGCUGGCAUGCACAACAAGCCAGUUCCAGUUUCCGGGCUCGUCGGACUUGGAGAGGAGCUAGAGGUGCACCUUGUUAUGCCAUCACUCAAGAGCAACUGAGGUUUCUGAUGUCCUGUGCUUUCAGUGUGGCAGAUAUUCUACAUGUGUCCCGAUCGACAGUCAAACGUCAUCUAAGACACUUCAACCUGUCACAUGCACCGUUAUAUUCUGACAUGUCAGACUUGGCUCUGGAUGAAAAGAUGAAGGACUUGGUGGCUGGGAACGACAAACGUGGACCGGAGGCUGUUCGAUCACAAUUAAGGGCUCUGGGUGCAGAGACGCAGAGUGAGGGACAGCAUGCUUCGUGUUAACCCGAGGACGGCUGCCCUCAGAGCCAUGUGGCAGAGGCUGCAUAGAAGGUCAUACCAUGUUGCUGGACCAAACUUGUUAUGGCACCUUGAUGGAAACCACAAACUGAUUUGGUAGAUGUAUCUUUGUGAUAGACACAAUUAUCUAUAUCACUGGUGAGAAGUUGUACAUUGUGACAUCUCAAAUUGUUCAUCAACAACUAACAGUUCAGUAAGCAAUGGCCCCUGAUACCAUAUGUCACUCAUGUGGAUAAUAAUUGUUUUAUUGUGUUUCUGCUACUUCUGUGAUUGAUGGAAUAUCUGCAUCAUGAAAUGAACAAACAUGCUUAUAUUGAGGACAUACGGAGGCAAUAACAGUUGGAGCAAAGUAUUUGUGCCUAAGUGUGAACAACAGGAGAGUCUGUCCUCUUGACUCAUCAAGAUAAAUGUGGUUAUUUUUCCAAUUGAAGUAGAUAUUGUAAUCACACAUCUUCCGCUGCAGGAAACGGUCUAGAACAAACCCUUGUUGUAGCCUUUAGAGGGCUAACGAAAGUACUUAUAGUUGUGAUCCACGGUAGACUGUUCAUUAACAUUGUUCCACAUUUUGGAUGUUAAUUUAAUAUUUGGUCUGCUGCUUUGUUAUAUACUGCAGGGACCUGAUGCAGCAUCUAAGUGGUAAAGGAGGAUGGUGAUGUUUGUAUAUUUCACGUGUCUUCAGCUUUUGUAUCAACCAGUGCUGUAUUUUCUGAUUUAGGUGGAGGAUAGUCAUACAUGGUGGCAUUGAUGGGUACAGCCGUCUCGUUGUUUCUCCGUGCUUCCAGGAACAGUCACAGCAGUACUGUAAUGGAUUGCUUCAUGAAUGCUGUCUCCAGAUAUGGCGUUCCCUCCAGAGUUAGGACGGACCAUGGAGGAGAAAACAGCACUGUCUGCUUGUUGAAUGUAAUACAUAUUGAAAAUAUUAAUUAAAAAAUAGAGCUACAUGCAUCCUUAAAAUGUAUUCUGGACCUACACAUUGAUUACAUUCUAUAGUGAGUGAUGCAUGCGGCUACAUUUUCUUUCUGUAAAUCAUUUUCAGAACGCAAUCACAUUAUGUUUGACAGCUUUAUUGCUUUCUCCAUGUUUUUGAAAUGUAUAAUCCUUUAAAUGACCUUUUACUGACUACUUCUACAAAUGAGGCUACACUUGUGGCAGCACCUAUUCCUGUGCCCCCCCCAUCUUCUGCACCACUUCUUGUGGCCCCCCUCCGCCUAUACCACUUCUUGUGACCCCCCUCCGCUUAUACCACUUCUUGUGGCCUUCCCUCCACCAUUCCCUGAGGCUUAUCGUCCACCUUCACCACACUCUUCUGUUGAUGUUGGUGAUGACAAUGAUUAAGUCGUCAAUGUAAAUAUUUCAAUGUCUUGUUAUUACAGAUGAAUUGUGGGAAGUAUCUGAGCUUUGUUAUUCUGAAUGUCUCUUUUAGUUUUGACCUCCAAACACUGCUGAAGUUAAUGAGAUGCCAACCAAAUUAGUGAUGAGGGACAACAUUUAUGAUUGUGCAAUGAGAGGCUUUAAGAGAGCCCGCUUUAAUCCGGAGGCAAAAAUAGACAUGGUUUUUAGGGAUGCUGACGGAAAAGGGGCAGCUGAUGAGGGUGGUCCCUCAAGAGAAUUUCUCCGGCUGCUAAUGAGUGCCAUCCAUUCCUCUGCAAUAUUUGAGGGACCUGAUUGGCAAAAAUGCCUUUCUUGCAACUCUCAAGGUGAGUAACACUUUUACACCAACAAAGACACAUUUAUUUAUGGCAAUAUAAAUGACUUGAGUAAGAAAUUUUAUUUUUGAAUGUAAUGGGUCCUUUAUUUACGGUUUGUCUUCUGUGUGACAGCACUCUAUGAUGGCGUAUACUAGCAGGUGGGCCGUAUGAUUACUGUCUGGUACAUGGGGUGUAGAGCCACAUUUUUUUCAGAGAGGCUAUACAGGCAAGUGUCUGGCCUACAACCUCCUGUGCCAGAAAUGAAAGAAAUUGUGGAAUAUGACUUCAGGGAGAAGGUAAGUAACUGUAUACUGUGAUGGAUGUUACAUUACUGUUAAUUUGCACAAAGUUGUGCUGUAGUUCAUGAAUACUUUUCCAUAUGGAUUUGGUUUCCUUUUGUUGGCAGUCAAUCUUUUUUAAGGGUAGUGAUAAUCAGUUUUUGUUUUGAUAAUUUGCCCCAAAACACAUUUCAAUAAACAAUCUAAGAUUCAGUUAGCACAAACUGUUGACAAGGCACAGGAAGCGGUCAUGUUGGGUCCAGUGGGAUACAUUCGUACAUUGGAGAGGGAUGCCCUGGUGGAGUCAGCCACAAAGUUCUACUUAGAAAGCAGGAUACAGGAUGCUCUUGAACAGUGAGUUUCCAUAUAUCUAAGGAAUCUCAAGUUUAGUUAAAUUCUUCAGGGCAAAUUCAUUGACUUGUUUUACUUUAUAGAUUCAAAGAGGGUCUGGAGUGUCUAGGUCUCCUGCCUUACAUGAAUAGACACUCAAGCCUCUCCAGAGAGGUUUUCAUCUACGCUGAGAAACCUGUUUUGGCCAAAGACAGCUUCUCUCUUCAAAGCAGAGCGCUCCCCACCUGGUACCAAUCAAAGAGCAAUAGAGAGAAGAGUCAUAUGUUUCUGGAGGGACUGACUUCUGGAGGUGGAAAGUUCGAUGCAAAACCAUGAUCAUUGAGGGAGGAGCACAUACCCUUUAACCAUGGAGAAGGUUUUCAUUUUCACUUCGGGG